rnacentral:rRNA from 1 species
UACGAAGGGGGCUAGCGUUGCUCGGAAUGACUGGGCGUAAAGGGCGCGUAGGCGGAUGACACAGUCAGAUGUGAAAUUCCCGGGCUUAACCUGGGGGCUGCAUUUGAUACGUGUUGUCUAGAGUGAGGAAGAGGGUUGUGGAAUUCCCCAGUGUAGAGGUGAAAUUCGUAGAUAUUGGGAAGAACACCGGUGGCGAAGGCGGCAACCUGGUCCUUGACUGACGCUGAGGCGCGAAAGCGUGGGGAGCAAACAGG